CGCCGCCCACCGCGCCUGCGAGCCAUCCAACUGCCCGGCCCAUCCAUUCCAAUUUCCCACUCCCACUUCCUCUGCCCAGCCAGCGCGUCGCCAUGGCCGUGCAGGCGCGGCACAUCUCCCACGACUUCCCGGCGGCGUUGGGCGGCGGCUCCCUGUUCCUGGACGUGGACGAGUACGCCGGGUGUGCGCCAACGUCGCCGGCGUGGCCUCGGGAUACGACGGCGCUCGGCGACCUCCCGCGCAGCGAGCUCGCCUGCAACUACGGCUUCGUGCCGAGGAAGCGGCCGCGCCUGGCGGCGGCGGCGGCGCCAGCAGCUGGGUGCUUCUUGGACGAUCAGCGCGCGGUUAUCACUCCGGCGGGAGCGGGGGUGGAGGGCUCCGGCGCGGCGUCCACCAGCGGGAGGGUGGCGAAUGGCGCGAGCGUCUCGCUGGGCCUUCGGGCGUGGAUGCACCACCAGGGCGUGGAGAUCGACGCGCUCUUAAGACUCGAGGCGGAGAGGAUGCGCGCGGCUCUAGAGGAGGCGCAGCGGCGGCACGCCCGGGCGCUGCUGGCCGCCGCGGGCCGCGCCGCGUCGGGGCGGCUGCGCGCGGCGGAGGCCGAGGCGGUGCGCGCGCUCUGGCGCAACGCGGAGCUGGAGGAGAAGGCCCGGCAGGCGGGCGCCGAGUGCCAGGCGUGGAUGGGCGUCGCCAGGAGCCACGAGGCCGUCGCGGCCGGCCUCCGCGCCACGCUCGAGCAGCUCCUGCAGCCGCCCCGCGCGGCCGCCGGGGGCUGCGAGGGCGACGCCGAGGAAGCGCAGUCGUGCUGCUUCGAGGCGCCGCCGGCCGCGGACGGCGCCGAUGACGCCCCGCCGGCCUCCAGGUCCGCUACGGCAGCAGCGGCGGCGGCGUGCAAGUCGUGCGGCGGCGGCGAGGCGCGCGUGCUGCUGCUCCCGUGCCGGCACCUGUGCCUGUGCGGCGCGUGCGAGGCCGGCGUGGACGCGUGCCCCGUCUGCGCGGCCGCCAAGAACGGCUCGCUCCAUGUCCUCUUCUCCUGAGCCGCGCCGUCCUCGUCCUACGAGUUGGAGGUAUACGGAGGGAAUCGUGUGAAGGAUUUACCGGAGAUAGCUGCAGAAAUGGUGAGAUGUCUCCUAGCUGUCGUUACAGUGCCAAAGGUUCAAGGGCUGGUAAAUGUUUAUGAUGGUUAGACACAAUCACACAACAUCUAGCAUCAGGUCUGGCUGCAAUUGUAAUUUGAAAAGUUUGGGCAGCGCACAAGCACGACAAAUGACUCGCGUCCGUCCAUGGCGUCCAUCGAAUGCCGGCAUGUGUUCGUCGCGUGUCCGGCCAGUAAUCCGCCGCGAAACAUGCCGUGCCCACUUGCCGAGUUGCCGUGCUACCCGUUGCCGCUGCUCGCCGUGUGCCCGUGUCCAUGUGAGAUCACUGUGGAUGAUGCCUCCGGGACCUUAAAGUUUCAGCGCCAAAGUCCAGACACACAAAGGCUACUGAUAGAUAGGUUACCUAGCGCCAUCGAUCGAUCCCGAUGUCAUAUCUCCUACACUGGGUUUGGACGUAGCUAUUAAUAACCUCAAAAUUUGGAAUUGGCAUUGGUGGCUUCAAAUA